rnacentral:lncRNA from 1 species
AACACGACGGCGAAGAAGCUCCCCACCAAAGCGGUUCCAGCAACAGCUGCCCACCCUGGAGCGUAAGCACCGCUGGGAACGUCAGCAGCCGGCUCGGCUGCGGGCCCGGACCCGGUGCUGGGUGCAGGUGGGGAUGAGGUCGGUGUGGAGGAGAUAGGAGUCGUGGCGGGUGAAGUUGCUGGUGCAGUUGAGGUUGCAGGUGAAGGUGUAGUCGCAGUAGGUGCUGGUGCAGGUGCGGCCACGGUGGGUGUUGGUGCCGGUGUGGCUGCGGGUGGUGAGGUGGUGGGAGCGGCGGUGGGUGCAAGCUUGGGUGAAGCUGCGGGUGACUGUGCCAAACAAGAG